AGUAAAAAAGUUACUUUUUGUAUUUAAGUUAUAUGUAUAUAAUUGUUUAUAUAUGCGUUUAAGUAUAUAUGUAUGUUUAUGGUAGUUAUAAGUAUCUGCAUUUUUUUUUAUUUAAUUUUUUUUUUUAAACAAUUUGCCCAUAACUGACCGCUUAAGUGUAUACAUAAGGUACAAAUAUCUAAUAAGUAUAUAUGCACAUAUAUAUAUAUAUAUAUAUAUAUCUACCUACAUUUUAGCACUUCAAACAAUUAUCUUAGAAUAGAGCAAUAACAAUAAUAUGAAUUGGCCUAAAUUUUUAUUAAUUUUUAGGGAUUUUUAAUAUUAAAUAAUGGAUUGAAAAAAAAAAAAAAAUUCUCUUGUUUUCUCCUUUUUUUUUAUUUUUUUUACAUGAGUUGUUAUUAUAUAUUAGUAAUAAUAUUUUCACAAAGUUUUUAAUUUGUGAGGUUUUUUUAUCAAUUUAUUGUGCUAACUUAUUUUAUGAACAUAUUUUGUAAACAUGUUUUAUUGUCUUGUUUAAAAAUUACAAUUUUUUUUUUUUCCCAUUUUUUUACCUUUUUAUUUUUCUACUUUUGUUGUAUCUACUUUUUUUUUUUUUUUUUAAAAAUACCAUUGCUAUAUAAAAAAAUAAAAAAGGUAGAUUAUCUGUUUGUUUAUGUGACAGUUAAAUGUACCCAACAAGAGGAAGUAGAAAGUAUGGCAUAUAAAAACGAAAGUGAAAGUAGUAACUCCAGCAAAGUCAGAUUAGAUGGCAAUCCAAAAAUUGAUUAUUUCCAUAACAAAGAUAAUUUAUUAAUAAGAACAUAUGCAUGGCAAGUUAAAGACCCUAUAGGUGCAUUAUUUUUAGUUCAUGGGUUUAAUAGUCAUGUACGUUUCGAAUAUAUGAAACAUAAUGUAACAAUAGAAAAUAAUGAAAAAGUUACAAUAAAAGAUAUAAAUAAUUUUUAUAUAUAUGAAAAUAGCUGGAUUGAUCAUAUAAAUAAAAAAGGCUUUUCAGUAUAUGCAAUGGAUUUACAAGGUCAUGGUGAAUCAGAAGGAUAUAAAAAUAUGAAGCUAAAUGUAAGGAAGUUUGAUGAUUUUGUUUAUGAUUAUAUUCAAUACAUGAAUAGAAUACAUGAUACAUUGUGUUUAGUAAAUAUAAAAAGUAAUGAUAACACAUCUAUCCAUGAUAAUAUAACAAGUACAAAAAUCCCUCCUUUUUAUUUGAUGGGUUUAUCUAUGGGUGGUAAUAUAGUAUAUAGAACAUUAGAAUUAUUAAAUAAAUCUAAAGAUAGUUAUAACAAAUUAAAUAUAAAAGGAUGCGUAUCUUUAGCUGGUAUGUUAUCUAUAGACAUUUUAUUAAAAAAACCUAUAUUUAAAUAUUUUUUAUUACCUUUUAGUAAAGUUUUUGCAACGAUUAUUCCUUAUUUCAGAGUAGGACCAGGUAUACAACUAAAACGUUUUGCUUUUGUUCAAGAAUUGUUUAAAAUAGACACUUAUGUUUCUAGUAAACCGGGUACAUGUAAUUUACAAUAUGAAUGUUUAAAUGCGAUAAAAAAUAUAAAUAAUGAUAUUAACUAUAUACCUGAAAAUAUACCGUUAUUAUUUAUACACUCAAAAGAAGAUUCAUUGUGUGAUUAUGAAGGAGUAAAAGAAUUUUACAAUAAAAUUAAAUCCAAAAAUAAAGAAUUUUUUACAUUAGAAGGAAUGGAUCAUAUGAUAACUAUGGAGCCAGGCUAUGAGAAUGUUAUGAAUAAAGUUAUUGAACUUCUUACCAAAACAUCCGAAAGUGCAUGAUUUGUUACAUAUUUAUAUACAUGUGUGUGUAUACGAGCUUUUUUUUUUUUUUUUUUUUUUUUUUUUUUUUUUUUUUUUUUUUNNNNNNNNNNNNNNNNNNNNNNNNNNNNNNNNNNNNNNNNNNNNNNNNNNNNNNNNNNNNNNNNNNNNNNNNNNNNNNNNNNNNNNNNNNNNNNNNNNNNUUUUUUUUUUUUUUUUUUUUUUUUUUUUUUUUUUUUUUUUUUGCUUUAUGUACUUACGAAUAUGUCAUAGUUUGACAUUUACUGAUGAGUUUAUGUACUAAAAAAAAAAAAUAAAAUAACAAUAACAAUAAUAAUAAUAACGGCA
ensembl:lncRNA